rnacentral:rRNA from 1 species
AUUGAACGCUGGCGGCAGGCCUAACACAUGCAAGUCGAACGAGUGGCGGACGGGUGAGUAAUGUCUGGGAAACUGCCCGCUGGAGGGGGAUAACUACUGGAAACGGUAGCUAAUACCGCAUACCAUCGGAUGUGCCCAGAUGGGAUUAGCUUGUAGGUGAGGUAACGUCUCACCUAGGCGACGAUCCCUAGCUGGUCUGAGAGGAUGACCAGACACACGGGAACGGAGACACGGUGCAGACUCCGACGGGAGGCAGCAGGGGGGAAUAUUGGACAAUGGGCGAGAGCCUGAUGCAGCCAUGCCGCGGGUGUGAAGAAGGCCUGCGGGUUGGAAAGCAAUUUCAGUGGGGAGGCGUUACCCGCAGAAGAAGCACCGGCUAACUCCGUGCCAGCAGCCGCGGUAAUUC